rnacentral:rRNA from 1 species
UUCAUGGAGAGUUUGAUCCUGGCUCAGGACGAACGCUGGCGGCGUGCCUAAUACAUGCAAGUCGAGCGGACAGAUGGGAGCUUGCUCCCUGAUGUUAGCGGCGGACGGGUGAGUAACACGUGGGUAACCUGCCUGUAAGACUGGGAUAACUCCGGGAAACCGGGGCUAAUACCGGAUGCUUGAUUGAACCGCAUGGUUCAAUUAUAAAAGGUGGCUUUUAGCUACCACUUACAGAUGGACCCGC